rnacentral:lncRNA from 1 species
UUCGACCCGUGCCGCCUCGACGAUUUGGUCUCUUCAGUGGCCUCACACUCAACAUCCUGUAAUUUCCUCUGUCAGUUACAGUCCAAGUUUCUUCAUGAAUUCCAUUCAGUUUCAACUCAAGCAAAUCUCCUCAUGAAUUACAUCCAGUUUCAACUGAAGCAAAUUUCUACAAGUAUAAACUGCAACCGAACAAUAUAGGAGCAAACCGGACCAAGAAGCACACCUCGCUGCGGCUAUCAGAGUCGUCUUUGCCCCUCCCCUUCCUCUUGUGGACACGGCCGCCGCUCUCGCUCGGCAGGCCGGAGCCCCCGAAGUUGCUCCCGGACCCGCCGGACGACGAGGUGCCGCGCGUGCUGGCCCCGCGCGUCCCCUCGGACGGCGGCGCGGCGCUCCCCUCCUCCCUGCCCCCCGCCGGCACCUCCGGGACCUGGUUGCUGCCGCAGAAGGUGGACCCGAUGUCGCCGCCGGUCCAGCUGGAGGCGAUGCCGCUCCGCAUCGGCGGCGGCGGGGGAGGGUGGGAGCUCG